rnacentral:rRNA from 1 species
UGCGAACUCCUACGGGAGGCAGCAGUGGGGAAUAUUGGACAAUGGGCGGAAGCCUGAUCCAGCAACGCCGCGUGAGGGAUGACGGCCUUCGGGUUGUAAACCUCUUUCAGCGGGGACGAAGCGCAAGUGACGGUACCCGCAGAAGAAGCACCGGCCAACUACGUGCCAGCAGCCGCGGUAAUACGUAGGGUGCGAGCGUUGUCCGGAAUUAUUGGGCGUAAAGGGCUCGUAGGCGGUUUGUCGCGUCGGGAGUGAAAACACCGGGCUUAACUCGGUGCUUGCUUUCGAUACGGGCAGACUAGAGGUAUUCAGGGGAGAACGGAAUUCCUGGUGUAGCGGUGAAAUGCGCAGAUAUCAGGAGGAACACCGGUGGCGAAGGCGGUUCUCUGGGAAUAUCCUGACGCUGAGGAGCGAAAGUGUGGGGAGCGAACAGGAUUAGAAACCCGAGUAGUCCAGAUG